rnacentral:rRNA from 1 species
CACGUAGGGUGCGAGCGUUGUCCGGAAUUAUUGGGCGUAAAGAGCUCGUAGGCGGUCUGUCGCGUCGAUCGUGAAAACUUGGGGCUUAACCCUGAGCUUGCGGUCGAUACGGGCAUGACUGGAGUUCGGCAGGGGAGACUGGAAUUCCUGGUGUAGCGGUGAAAUGCGCAGAUAUCAGGAGGAACACCGGUGGCGAAAGCGGCCGUCUGGAACAUUCCUGACACUGAGGUUCGAAAGCUCGGGGAGCAAACAGG